CACGGGGGGAGCAAGCGUUGUUCGGAAUCACUGGGCGUAAAGGGCGUCUAGGCGGUACGGUAAGUGGGAUGUGAAAGCCCCCGGCUCACCCGGGGAUCUGCAUUCCAAACUGCCGAACUUGAGUAUGGGAGAGGACAGGGGAAUUCCUGGUGUAGCGGUGAAAUGCGUAGAUAUCAGGAGGAACACCGGUGGCGAAAGCGCCUGUCUGGCCCAAUACUGACGCUGAAGCGCGAAAGCUAGGGGAGCAAACGGGAUUAGAUACCCCGGUAGUCCUAGCCGUAAACGGUGAUCACUAGGUGUUGGAGGCAUCGACCCCUCCAGUGCCGCAGCUAACGCAUUAAGUGAUCCGCCUGGGGAGUACGGCCGCAAGGUUGAA
rnacentral:rRNA from 1 species